UACGAAGGGGGGCUAGCGUUGUUCGGAAUUACUGGGCGUAAAGGGCGCGUAGGCGGUGAUCUUUGUCAGAGGUGAAAGCCCGGGGCUCAACUCCGGAAUUGCCUUUGAAACGGGAUUGCUUGAGUCCGAGAGAGGAUGGCGGAAUUCCUAGUGUAGAGGUGAAAUUCGAUAGAUAUUAGGGAGAACACGGUGGCGAAGGCGGCCAUCUGGCUCGGUACUGACGCUGAUGCGCGAAAGCGUGGGGAGCAAACAGGG
rnacentral:rRNA from 1 species